UACGUAGGGUGCAAGCGUUGUCCGGAAUUAUUGGGCGUAAAGAGCUCGUAGGCGGUUCGUCGCGUCGGCUGUGAAAACCCGGAGCUCAACUCCGGGCCUGCAGUCGAUACGGGCGGACUUGAGUGUUGCAGGGGAGACUGGAAUUCCUGGUGUAGCGGUGAAAUGCGCAGAUAUCAGGAGGAACACCGGUGGCGAAGGCGGGUCUCUGGGCCGAUACUGACGCUGAGGUGCGAAAGCGUGGGGAGCAAACAGG
rnacentral:rRNA from 1 species